UGGGAAGGCAGAGGAAAAGGCAGCGUGGAGAGGGGCCCGCAAACACGGAGCACCACUGUGUGCCAGACGCUGGAGCCUCAAAUAAAACCAGGCCCGAUCUCUUCCUCCCCUAAUGGGGCUCCUGAUCUGGCGGGGAGCUUGAGAUGAAAGAAAUUGCUGCAAAGCCCAUACUAUAAGCCGAUAAGGGCUCUGAUGGAGGUGGUACUUCAGGGAGCGGAGAGGAAGACUCAGUGGAGGAGGUGAUUGGAAGAUAUGUCUUGAAAGUUAAGGCUCCCCAACCUGUGUGCUCAGCAAACCAGUGGCAAUUGGUUAGUAAGUGCUUCUGGGGGCUUUUGAGCUAAUGAAGCAAAAAGACCCGUGAUACAGGGGCAGGCGAGGAGAAGCAGGCGU